rnacentral:rRNA from 1 species
AUGAAGAUUAGUGGAUGGAAAGAAAAGUUGUUAUCGGCGGGAGGAAAGGAAAUUUUGCUUAAGUCUGUUGUUCAAGCUAUCCCAACAUAUGCAAUGUCCGUCUUUAAAAUUCCUAAAAAGAUUUGCAAAGGAAUCAUAGAUGCGAUGUCGCAAUUUUGGUGGGGUGAUGAGGACAAUCAGAAAAGGAUGCACUGGAUGGCAUGGUGGAAGAUGUGUGUUCCAAAAGAACAAGGAGGAAUGGGUUUCUGUGAUAUACACUAUUUUAACCUGGCUUUAUUAGCGAAGCAAGCAUGGCAUCUCGUGGAUAAUCCUGAAUCAUUAUGUGCAACAAUCCUAAGAGCCAAGUAUUUCCCGAAGGUGAUUUGA